CCCCAAAAAUCAGAGAAAGAAAGAAUCAUCUUCUUCCUUAAAACUUUACAUGCAAAUCAAACUUCCCAAGCUCAUAACUUCUUUGUUUCUCAACGGAAUCAGACGAUUCUUGCGGCCACGGAACGAGGAGAACGAGAGCUACUCAUCAAGCCCAUAAAAUCAAGACGCAUCGAUGGACUUCGAAAGUGACAUGUUUGGCUUAGUGGGGUUCGACUAUUAUUUUAAUAUCAUGAUUUGGAUAGCGAAUUCAUGUUUUCUUUCAGGUUAAUUAUAUGGCGACGUGGUCGAGUUUCCAUUCAUUGUUCUGGAAGUCUCAGUUAUGAAAGUUUCUACCCUUCUUAGAGCUGCAGUAGUUAUGUUAGUAGACAGUUUAUGUUUUUCAUGUGCUGUGGCAUAAAGAUGUAUUUUUGGAAAAUGGUUUAUCCAUACAUUUUGUAUAUGAUUACAUGGUAUUUUUAACAGGGUGGUUUGUGUUUUUUAACAGGUGCCAGUAGCACAGUUUUCAAACGUUA